rnacentral:rRNA from 1 species
UACCUUUUGCAUCAUGAUUUAGCCAGAAAAUCUCAAGCAAAGAGCACUUUAGUUUGAUUCCCCGAAACUACGUGAGCUACUCCAAGACAGCCUAACAUAGGGCAAACCCGUCUCUGUGGCAAAAGAGUGGGAAGAGCUUUGAGUAGAGGUGACAGACCUACCGAACCUAGUUAUAGCUGGUUGCCUGAGAAAUGAAUAGAAGUUCAGCCUAUCGGAUUCUUCCCUCACCUUUAUAAUUUUUACAACAACCAAAAGAAACCGAAAGAGUUAGUCAAAGGGGGUACAGCCCCUUUGACACAAGACACAACUUUUCCAGGAGGGUAAAGAUCAUACUCAAACACCAAGGUAAGAUGUUUUGGUGGGCCUAAAAGCAGCCACCCCUACAGAAUGCGUUAAAGCUCAAACAUACCUACCACCCAUAAUCCUGACAACCCUAUCUUAACCCCCUAACCCUACCAGGCCAUCCCAUGCAAACAUGGGAGUGACCAUGCUAAUAUGAGUAAUAAGAGAGCAUUAGCCUCUCUCCCUGCACAAGU